UCACGGGCACCACCAUCCCCCCCGCCCCGCCCUGCGGCUAGAGUGGCAAGGCACCCCACCCGAGCUGGACUCUGCCGAGAAGAGACCACGCGUGGACCAGCCCUGGCCUCCAGGACGCUCUCAGCCAGAGGAAGGAGUCUGAAGUUUGGAAGCAGGAGAAUCAAGUUCCCAGCCCAGCUCGACCCAGGAGCCCAGGAGGGGAAAGUGGUUCAGAGCAGCGGCAACCCGCCUCGACCAGCAGACUAGAAGGAGGGGGCAGGAGGCAGACGCAAGCAGGCUGCUCGCACGAGGCCCAGAGACUCGCUCUCCACGUGAGUCUGGGAAGCAGCUGCAGCAGCUGCCCGCCUGCUGAGCCGCUCAGCCUGCCGAGGGGUCCUCGCAUCCACAGAGCCUCCUGACACCCCGGCACGGCCGGCUCCACUCGGCAGGGGAUCCCGGGAACCCAGGCAGCAGGGUCAGGACUCAGAGCUGGGUGUCCUGAGGCCAACAUCCGGGCUCUCAGCGCUGCCCCCAAAACAGCGGGCAGGGCACAGGGCCCCUGGGCACGUCUGUACAUCCUUCUCACUUGGGACGUCAGCAUCGCCCACUGGGGCCCUUUCCUUGAUCCAUGCGUCACUGGAGAUCAAGGGGGAGGCAAAAGAUGGGAACCACCCAGUUGCCCAUCAGCAGAUGAACGAACAGCAAACUGGGGCCUCUGCAAACAGUGGCAUAUUGCUCAGCCAUAAAAGGGAACAAGUUCCCCCACGACCUCUCUUAUUAGUGGCUUCUGUCUCCACUGAAGUCGAAAAAUGUGUGCAAAGAUUACAUGAGUGACUCUGUGUCAAG
ensembl:lncRNA